UGAUAUGGAGAAGGCAACCUGGGCAGAAGGAAGAACUGUAACAAAGGAAUCCUGUGCCUGGAAGAGGAACAAAUAGUCCACAUCUUCCAGACCUUGAAGGCUUCAUGGGAGGAAAAACGGAAGUGAGAGGGUUGGAGACGGCUGCUCUGGACCUUACUCUGGUGCACGAUUCCAUCCACUGGUGAGAGGAAAAGAGGAAAUGGAGCCUCAUCCCUUGAAGAGCAUAACUCACAAUUGGAAAACUGCACCCUUCCAUGUGCCUCCCACUGCCCGCAGCACCACAUGGCCACACACAGUGUAAAGGGGGAUGGAACUGUGAGCUUCAGCUGGGUCGUUGCUUGCUCUGCUGACAUUUGGAAUACUAAAGCAAGAUGGAAGGAAUAGGCAUUGGGAGACAAGUGAAACAGGCGCGCAUUCAUUCAUCCAUCCAGAUUCUUGGAGAAGUUACCGUUAUGAGAAGCCUUGCUGUUCGAAUCCCAGAAAACCAGCCACUGCCCUGCUACCUCCCCUUCAGACUUUUCUCCCCCCUGAGCACUUGUAAAAUGUGAGCUGAAAACCCCGGCAUUUUGUGAAGAUACUAGUUAUAUUUCUUUGGCUGUAUUGUACAAUUGUGUGAGGCAGAGGGAGAAAUUGAGUUAGCUACUUGGUAACACAGGGAUGAAGCUAGGAAAAUAAAACAAAUAAAAAAG